rnacentral:rRNA from 1 species
AUUGAACGCUGGCGGCAUGCUUUACACAUGCGAGUCGGACGGCAGCGGGGUAGUGCUUGCACUACUGCCGGCGAGUGGCGAACGGGUGAGUAAUAUAUUGGAACGUACCGAGUAAUGGGGGAUAACCAAUCGAAAGAUUGGCUAAUACCGCAUACGCUCUGAGGAGGAAAGCAGGGGACCUUCGGGCCUUGCGUUAUUCGAGCGGCCAAUAUCUGAUUAGCUAGUUGGUGGGGUAAGGGCCUACCAAGGCGACGAUCAGUAGCGGGUCUGAGAGGAUGAUCCGCCACACUGGGACUGAGACACGGCCCAGACUCCUACGGGAGGCAGCAGUGGGGAAUUUUGGACAAUGGGCGCAAGCCUGAUCCAGCCAUGCCGCGUGUCUGAAGAAGGCCUUCGGGUUGUAAAGGACUUUUGUUAGGGAAGAAAAAGGAGCGGUUAAUACCCGUUUCUGCUGACGGUACCUAAAGAAUAAGCACCGGCUAACUACGUG